AUUGAACGCUGGCGGCAUGCCUUACACAUGCAAGUCGAACGGCAGCAUGGAGAGCUUGCUCUCUGAUGGCGAGUGGCGAACGGGUGAGUAAAGCAUCGGAACGUACCGUGUAGUGGGAGAUAACGUAGCGAAAGUUACGCUAAUACCGCAUACGCACCGAGGUGGAAAGCAGGGGAUCGUAAGACCUUGCGCUAUACGAGCGGCCGAUGUCAGAUUAGCUAGUUGGUAGGGUAAAGGCCUACCAAGGCGACGAUCUGUAGCGGGUCUGAGAGGAUGAUCCGCCACACUGGGACUGAGACACGGCCCAGACUCCUACGGGGGGCAGCAGUGGGGAAUUUUGGACAAUGGGGGCAACCCUGAUCCAGCCAUGCCGCGUGAGUGAAGAAGGCCUUCGGGUUGUAAAGCUCUUUCGGCCGGGAAGAAAUCGCACAGGCUAAUACCCUGUGUGGAUGACGGUACCGGCAUAAGAAGCACCGGCUAACUACGUGCCAGCCGCCGCGGUAA
rnacentral:rRNA from 1 species